AGAUGGCACGCUCUAAAGAUCUAGGGCACUCUCUUGGCCCUGUUUUGCAUCCUAUGCAGGCUGUGUGUACACAGCAAGGAUAUUUCCUGGAGGGAAUUCAUGAAACAGCACUACCUAAGUCCAAGCCAAGAAUUCAGAAAAUACAAAUGCAACGUCCUCAUGAGGGAAAAAGAAGCUCUGAAAGACAAGAGCUCUUGGGUGUUCAUCUAUACCUCAUGGUACAAAUGGAGCAUAUAUGCGUCAAUGACAACUGAAAUGACCGCUACAGAAAUGUAUGUAUAUAGGCCCAGAAUGCCCUGAAAGAACUCAGUUGUCACCAGGAGAAUUCAAAAAAAAGCAACACAUUGUCUGGGUGCAGUGGCCAUAACUAUAUUCCCAACACUUGAGGCCAGGAGUCAAGACCAGCCUGGGCAACAUAGCCAGACCCCAUCUAUACAAAAAAAUAAAAUAAAAUUACCUGACAUAAUGAUGCACAUGUGUAGUCCUAACUAGUGGGGAGGCCGAGGCAGGGGAAUUGCUUGAACCCUGGAGAUUGAGGUUGCUGUGAGCCAUGAUCACACCACUACACUCCAUCCCAGGAAGCAGAGCAAGACCCUGUCUCUUUUUUUUUUUUUUUUUUUUUUUGAGACGGAAUUUCGCUCUUGUCGCCCAGGCUGGAGUGCAAUGGCACAAUCUGGGCUCACUGCAACCUCCACCUCCUGGGUUCAAGCGAUUCUCCUGUCUCAGCCUCCCGAGUAGCUGGGAUUACAGACACCCACCACCACGCCUGGGUAAUUUUUGUAUUUUUAGUAGAGACGGGGUUUCACCAUGUUGGCCAAGCUGAUCUUGAGCUCCUGAUCUCAGGUGACACCUUGGCUUUCCAAAGUGCUGGGAUUAUAGGUGUGAGCCACUGCACCCAGCCAACCCUGUCUCUUUAAAAAAAAAAAAAAAAAAAAAACUACCCAGAGAGCAGAAGUUUCAACUACAUUGAAUUCC
rnacentral:lncRNA from 1 species